AGAGAGUUCGAUCCUGGCUUAGGAUGAACGCUGGCGACAAAGUGGUGUUUCCAGUGGUGGAGGGGUGAGUAACACGUAAGAACAUGUCCUUGGGAAGGGAACAAUAGCUGGAAAUGACUGCUAAUACCCCGUAGGCUGAGGAGCAAAAGGAGAAAUCCACCCGAGUAGGGGCUUGCGUCUAAUUAGCUAGUUGGUGAGGUAAUAGCCUAUGAAGGCAAUGAUCAGUAACUAGUUCGAGAGGAUGAUCAGCCACACUAGGACUGAGACAUGGCCCAAACUUCGAUGGGAGGCAGCAGUGGGGAAUUUUCCUCAAUGGGCGAAACCUGAUGGAGCAAUGCUGCAUGGAGGUAGAAGGUCCACGGGUCGUGAACUUCUUUUCUCGAAAAAAAAGCAAUGACAGUAUCUGGGAAAUAAGCAUCGGCUAACUCUGUGCUAGCAAUUGUGAUAAGAUAGAGGAUGCAAGUGUUACCCAGAAUGAUUGGGCGUAAAGCAUCUGUAGGUAGCUUUUUUAAGUUCAUCGUCAAAUCCCAGGGCUCAAUCCUGGAUAGGCGGUGGAAACUACCAAGCUGGAGUACGAUAGGGGCAAAGAGAAUUUCAGGUUGAGUGGUGAAAUGCAUAGAGAUCGAAAAAAACACCAACGAUGAAAGCACUCUGCUAGGCCGAUACUGACACUAAGAGAUGAAAGCAAGGGGAGCGAAUGGGAUUAGAUAUCCCAAUAGUCCUAGCCGUAAAUGAUGGAUACUAGGUGCUGUAUGUAUCGAUCAGUGCAGUGCUAUAGCUAAUGCGUUAAGUAUCUUACUUGGAGAGUAUGUUUGCAAGAAUGAAACUCAAAGGAAUUAACGGGGGCCCACAUAAGUAAUGGAGCAUGUGGUUUAAUUCGAUGCAAAGUGAAGAACCUUACUAGGGUUUGACAUGCCGCGAAUCCUCUUGAAAGAGAGGGGUACCUUCGGGAAUGAGGACACAGGUGGUGCAUGGAUGUCGUCAACUCGUGCCGUAAAGUGUUGGGUUAAGUCCUGCAACGAGUGCAACCCUCGUAUUUAGUUUCCAUCAUUGAGUUUGGAACCUUGGACAAACUGUCGGUGAUAAGCAAGAGGAAGGUGAGGAUGACAUCAAGUCAUCAUGCCCCUUAUACCCUAGGCGACACACAUGCUACAAUGGCCGGGAAGAAGGGUCACGAUCUCAUGAGGGUGAGCUAACCCCAAAAACUUAUCCUUAGUUUGGAUUACAGGGUGUAACUCGCCUGUAUGAAGCCAGAAUCGCUAGUAAUCGUCAGUCAGCCAUGCAGGUGAUUACUAGCAAUUUCGAUGAGAAAUUCUAUUAUCAAUGAACGGUGAUUACUAGCCCUGCAUUCGGUAUCCCCCUCCCUAAGGUUAAGGUAAUGACUUUGGGCAUGGCCAGCUCUUAUAGUGUGACGGGCGGUGUGUACAGGGCCCGGGAAUG
rnacentral:rRNA from 1 species